rnacentral:tmRNA from 1 species
GAACGCGGUCGUCGGCGUAUAGACGACUACGCACGUGAAUGAAGGUGUUCUGGAUGCCUUGCGGACCCGGGUUCGAUUCCCGGCGCCUCCACCUGUUUUGCUCGUGGUUUUUUAUCUUUUGUGCCCUGAUUGUGACCCGAUAAAUUUCGUGGGGGCAUAACUCACCGUUCUGGCGGUGAGUUACGACGCCAGCACGCGGGGACUCUCAAGGUCGCUUGGUUGUCGGGCACGUGUGUCCGUCGCCACGCACCCAGGCCGGCGGGUGCGGCUGGGUUCGUAGGGUCGUGACGACACCCGAGGUCCCCUUGCCGGAAUUUCUUUAAGGGGUGUGCCAGGGAUAUAGCGGCCCAGUCUGCUAGGCCGAUACGAAUACCUUGCCGCCCGUAGACGGGGCGGGGUGCUGGCUCCCUUCCGGAAUGGACAAGGCUCUCGUGCUCGCGCGCCGUGGAGUCUUUUGCGCUCUGCUUCAGCGCUCGGU